AGGCAGCAGUGGGGUAAUAUUGUCGCAAUGGGCGAAAGCCUGACGCAGCCAUGCCGCGUGUGUGAAGAAGGCCUUCGGGUUGUAAAGCACUUUCAAUUGGGAGGAAAGGUUCACGGUUAAUAACCGUGAGCUGUGACGUUACCUUUAGAAGAAGCACCGGCUAACUCCGUGCCAGCAGCCGUGGUAAUACGGAGGGUGCGAGCGUUAAUCGGAAUUACUGGGCGUAAAGCGCGCGUAGGUGGUCUGUUAAGUCGGAUGUGAAAGCCCCGGGCUCAACCUGGGAACUGCAUCCGAUACUGGCAGACUAGAGUGCGGGAGAGGGAGGUAGAAUUCCAUGUGUAGCGGUGAAAUGCGUACAUA
rnacentral:rRNA from 1 species